UUUUAGUUACAUAUGCCUAAGGAAUGAAAGAACCUUGUGCCUAGCUUGAAGAUACCCAAAAGCCAAUAUUUCAGUAUCUCCUAACUGGUAUUAGAAGGCGUCCUGAACAGUUUUCCUGACAUUAUUUCAACACGAAUGCGAUUGGUUAACAUCUAUGCAAAAGAUGAGCAAUGACCAGA